UGAGGAAUAUUGCGCAAUGGGGGCAACCCUGACGCAGCAACGCCGCGUGGGUGAAGAAGGCUUUCGGGUUGUAAAGCCCUGUCAGGUGGGAAGAAACCUCUGCGGGUAAAUAGUCUGCAGAAUUGACGGUACCACCAAAGGAAGCACCGGCUAACUCCGUGCCAGCAGCCGCGGUAAGACGGAGGGUGCAAGCGUUGUUCGGAAUCACUGGGCGUAAAGCGCGUGUAGGCGGUCCGAUAAGUCGAGUGUGAAAGCCCGAGGCUCAACCUCGGAAGUGCACUCGAAACUGCCGGGCUUGAGUACGGGAGAGGGAAGUGGAAUUCCUGGUGUAGAGGUGAAAUUCGUAGAUAUCAGGAGGAACACCGGUGGCGAAGGCGGCUUCCUGGACCGAUACUGACGCUGAGACGCGAAAGCGUGGGGAGCAAACAGG
rnacentral:rRNA from 1 species